GCUGUCGUCAGCUCGUGUCGUGAGAUGUUGGGUUAAGUCCCGCAACGAGCGCAACCCCCUUUCUUAGUUGCUAACAGGUUAUGCUGAGAACUCUAAGGAUACUGCCUCCGUAAGGAGGAGGAAGGUGGGGACGACGUCAAGUCAUCAUGGCCCUUACGCCUAGGGCUACACACGUGCUACAAUGGGGUGCACAAAGAGAAGCAAUACUGCGAAGUGGAGCCAAUCUUCAAAACAUCUCUCAGUUCGGAUUGUACGCU
rnacentral:rRNA from 1 species